rnacentral:tRNA from 1 species
GUUUUAAUAAUUUAAAUAAAAUAUUGGUCUUGUAAAUCAAAAAUAAGAAAAUAUCUUUUAAAACU